GCUAGUGUGAUGUAAUGGCUUGAGCAUCAGACUUGGAUUCUGGAGAUCAGGGUUCAAUUCCCUGAACUACCA